UACGUAGGGCGCAAGCGUUAUCCGGAAUUAUUGGGCGUAAAGGGCUCGUAGGCGGUUUGUCGCGUCGGGAGUGAAAACACGGGGCUUAACCCCGUGCCUGCUUCCGAUACGGGCAGACUAGAGGUAUGCAGGGGAGAACGGAAUUCCUGGUGUAGCGGUGAAAUGCGCAGAUAUCAGGAGGAACACCGGUGGCGAAGGCGGUUCUCUGGGCAUUACCUGACGCUGAGGAGCGAAAGUGUGGGGAGCGAACAGG
rnacentral:rRNA from 1 species